AAAGGAUAGGGCAGGGGCAGGGAGGAUAGGUUGAAAGGUACAUUGAGAGGAGAGAAGGAUGCCUACACCACCUCCUUUACAGUCGAGUCUAGGAGUAUGGGAGAACUGUAGACCACUGAAACAUAAAGAAGCAGGAGUAGCGGUAUCGGAUGGGGACAGCCAGGUCUCAGUGAGUGCCAGUAUUGUGAGUGAGUUACCGUGAGAAACCAUG